UCCACCGUGAGGUGGAAUCUGAAGGAAGCCGGCGGCAAAUCUCCGGUCUGAGGAACACGAACUUCAUAUAAGGCUAGCGUUUGUUGGACGAGGUUGCAAAACAAACCAAAAUUCGUACUGCCAAAGGCAAGCGAGAGUAAAUGAAGCAGAUAGAUGGAGAGGAAGAUAGCGCU
rnacentral:ncRNA from 1 species